ensembl:lncRNA
AAGACCUGACAUGGUGCUCUGGCCCCGUUCGCUCAAGGUCUUCAUCAUUGAGCUCACAGUACCCUGGGAGGACUCAGUAGAUGAGGCUUAUGAGCGAAAGCAUCUGCGCUAUGCCGAGCUAGCUGCCGAAGCACGGCAUCAUGGCUGGAACACAGAAGUCCGACCAGUGGAGGUGGGCUGCAGAGGUUUUGUGGCAACAUCUACAACCAGACUGCUUAGAGACCUUGGAAUUAAGGUCCAAAGCCAGCAUUCGGCAAUCAAAGCUGUAUCGGAGGCGGCAGAAGGCAGUAGUCAGUGGCUCUGGAUGAAGAGGAAAGACCCCAGCUGGGCCCCGAAGUGAGAGGGCCAGGAGGUAUGCGGUCAACAAUGCUUGACUCAGGGAGGAGGAUGCCCCUGCCAUGCAUAGUCCCAUGGGAUGUUGGCUAUCAUCAACAAGGCAACUCCUAUGACUAAUUGAGAAUGGGACGCAAGCGUAGGAUUGAUCACCCUGUCGCUGGCCGCCUUUGGGGAGGGUGUAUAGUGUGAAAGGCCGAAACACCCUAGGAACCAAAGGUACACUACUGACGAUGCGCUCCCCAAAUUUCACCAGGCUCACUGUUCAUUAACUCUUGGAAGUGCUUGCACAAAGGAUAGUAACAUCUCAUCCUGUGUUCUUGGAAUCUACCACUUCAGAGUAAAGUAAAGAGGGCGUAACUAACAGGCCUAGUGUAUUUACAUGUAUCCCCACGUAGCCUCUUUAACACCAUUCGUUCUUAUAUUAUGUAUAGUUCUCAUCUGUGAAAGCUGGGAGCGUUGCCCAGGGCAUGGGUCAGGUGGAAGAUAUAGACCCAAUGGUUACCUCACAGUGAGAUGAGGGUGUGUCGCUAUCACUCCGUGUGUAUCCUGCUGGGAGGGAGAAUGUGGAGGAACCAUGAGUCCAAUAUUGUGGUGUUGGAAAGGGAGAAUUUAAUUGGCAAACAGUGAACGAUGACUACCCCUCUCGCAGUCCAUGGGCUGGAGCAACAACGAGAUUGGAUCCAUGCAGGUCCAGAACAGAGUCUGGGUGUGUUACCAGUUCCCCGGUUACUGCAGCUACCAGUACAUCAUGGAGUGCGACUGUCAUGGCGGAUAGUACAAAAACUACAGGGAGUGGGGCUCCCACGCUCAGACUUUCCAGGUCCAGUCUCUGUGCCGCAUCCAACAGUGAGCGCAUCCACAGCCGCCUCAUCCUCCUCGCCUCCUCCUCUUAUCCUCCACCCUAUCAUUCCAAGCUUGGCCAGUAGUCUUGUCAGACCAAUACCAACAUCUCCUGACGCUUCUAAUGCUCCACAGCGACAACACUGUUUACCUGCACUUUCGUUUUGUUCCAUCAUUGAACAAAUUAAAAAAGAGAGAACAAGAGCAGAAGAAAGAAAAUAAAAGUGACUGAACCACCCCACAGCAAGCGGAGGAGGGUCUCGGGUGGUGUGGUGGUACAAACCAGACUUUGAUGCUGUUCUUCAGUGUUGUCACAGGGAAUUCAUAGCCACAGUGAUCAAUAAAGAGAGAAUGAGCAACAAGAAUAAACAGUGCUAUAAGAGUGCUAUUAACCUGCUCUGGUGUCAAUUGUCUUUACUUGUUUUAACAGUUGUUUCUCUCUACUCUCUACUAGUAUAUGUUUCAGCAGUUCUCAGUUGUCCCAUCUCUUUGAACAAACCAUUUCCAUUGGUUAUAAAAAAUAUAGGAAAUAUAAAUAUCAAACUAUAUUAC